GGGAAUUACCCAGCUACAGGUCACAAGAAACCCCAUGAGCCAUCCAUAGUCAAGAUGCCAGUACUGAAGGAAAUGCAGCAGGCAGGACAAGCGAUGGACCAAAAAGCUGUACUGAAGGUGGCAUUUCCCGGGCUAAGUGGCGGCUCAUUGGAAGGCCCUGCAGGAAGGAAGGCAAUGCCAGACACGGGCACAGGCACAGCAGAUGAGGUGUCUGGGAAGACUUCUCCAUUAGCUUGGCUGCAUAAAGUGUUGGUCCUAUCUGAGCCCCUCUCAGGUAUG